CAGACUGGAGGAAGGCCUUAGGGUGGAACACUAUGACAUCAAGCAUUACAUAUGGAAGUUAUUCAAGCUGCUCGGGGUGAAAUAAGGGAAAUACUGCAUCUGGCAAGAACUUUGGACGUAACUCUAGAUAGUAGGAAACUUGCACAAUGUUCAGGACAGGCUGACAGUCAAUUAUCAGCAUAUUUCUCUCCACUGAAUUUCUUUUGUACAUACAUCCUCGGCUCUAACUCCAGACUUGAAAGGAAGACCAUUUUUCCCGACAGUGAUUUCCUCCAAUAUCUCGUCUCUGGCUGUCUCCGUGUGUGUUUUUAACAGGCAGACCCAUGGGCUUACACUUUUGCAAGCCUUGCAGCCCGUGCCUACAAAGUAAGGAGGAAUGCAGAGCGGCUGGCGGCUGCUCGUGUGUGCAGAGCGACGACUGGACAUAUUGCUCUGACCGCUGCUGUGACAUCUGCUGCCAGAUGUGCGUGAACGUAUGCUCUGGCGUGUGUUCAGGGGACUGCAGCUACACCUUCUGUACUCUCUGCCUCAGCCUGGCACAGAACUGUGCCUCUCUUAUUAACACCCAACAAACUGAGACAUCAGAGGCACAACAAUCUGUGAUGGCUCCAGACCUGCAUGCAAAGUGAACAUGGGAUCAGCCUUAAAAAAUCCAUUGAUUUAAAGCCUGCAGCUUCUCCAGCUGCUGUGGAGCUGGAGUGAGCUUAAGGCUUCCAUCUAAUGAGGACAGAUUGGAGGAGCAGCGAGAACUUCAACAACAAGGGCAGAAAAAACUCUCUGCAGAGAAAACUUGAACAAUGGUCCUUACAAUAAGCUGGAGUUUAUCGCUGCUAUCAUGGCUGGACAAAAGCUCCCCCAACAAAACAAGCUCUUCUCUGCGGGGUCAGGCUGGGCCCACCCAUAUGACACCACAGACUGAGCUCCGCUUCAUGUCAACACUUUUCCAGCCAAAAUGCUGCACCCCAUUUCAGCUGGAUGGAUUUGUUUCCAGUGUGUCUGCAUGUUUGCUUACAAAAAAGGACAGCUACUUCAUCCUUAUCUCUCAGAGACAAACAGGAUUCCCUGACAACAACAGAGCCAGAGUGUUGUAUUUUUCAAAUCUGGGAGAUUAAACUGAAGUGUAGAAAUGGCCUCCUCCUCCUCGCGCACAACAGUACUUCAAAGCUCUCAUUAGAUGUCUGCAAGAUUGUUUUGCACUUUGAGGCAAACAAAAAUGUAAUUCGGUUGCGCGUAGUGUGUGAUCUGAUAUUUCUUUGUGAGAUAAGGAUGCCUGAGGACACAAGGUGCUAUUUGCUUUCUUGGAAUUAGACCUCUUUUUUUUAUUAACCUCCAUGAAAGUGUGGAAAUGUUUAUGAAUGAAUAAUCUGUGACCCGGCAUCAAAACAAGAUUAGACCAAGGUCUGUCUAGGAUAAAGGCCUUACACAACAAAGUCUGAUGAGCUGCAUUGUGUCCCCAACUGUCCCCAUCUCUGCUCUUGUUCUCUCCUCCCCACGCUCCCUGUGGACUCUGCACUGCAUUCAGUCAAACUCGAGCGUGUACCCGUCUCAAACCCAGAGGACAGACAGCCUAGUUUGCUCCUUGAACUGACCUUACCCUCCUGAAAGUUUGUUUUAUGAUAUACGCACUCGGAGUCUGAAACUAUUUGUACACUCUUCAUUCACCUUGACUAAUCGAUUGCCUCCGAGUGCGGUUUCUUUUUUCCUUUAUUUGCUUGGAAUCUCCUGAUAGAAGAGAGCUGAAAUUGUGAAGUCUUAAUUUAAUAUGAGAAGUCUUGAAGGAGCUUUGAUGUAAACUGAAAUAUUGUUCCCAAAUGUUGCUUUGAGAUCAAUAAAGAUUAAUUGCUCA